AAGAUGGUGUUGAGUAUGUUCGACUCGGAGACUGCUGCAGUGCACUGGAAAAAUCGUGUUUAAUCUCCGUUUUAGAAAAUGAAAGAUUUGGGGGUGACAAACCUGCUUCAGGAGUGGGACUUCCCACAUUUAGUUCCAAUCUUUAGAGUUAAAUGUUGCAGAAGAUGAGCACGAAGAAGACACCUACUGGAUGCAAUAUUACUCAUCACCUGACAACAUUGUUGUUAAUGUGACGAACCUCGGUACCGAGAUAUGAGUUGACUAGAGGAAACCCGCGACCAAGCACAGCAGAAAUUCUUGACAAAUAUCUACAGCUUUUGGGAAUGAUUGAUCAAGACUUUGAUUUAACAAUUGAUGCAGCUCCUGGUGCCCUUUUCACAAUGUGGCCAAAGUUGUCCAGGCAGACUUUGGAAUUUGCGGAGAAGAUUAAUCCAGGGUAUAGAAAGAUCCUAGGGGCUGGAGUGGACCAGAAAAUGAUGCAGAGUAAGUUUUAGUCUUA